rnacentral:rRNA from 1 species
AGCGAACGCUGGCGGCAGGCUUAACACAUGCAAGUCGAGCGGGCAUAGCAAUAUGUCAGCGGCAGACGGGUGAGUAACGCGUGGGAACGUACCUUUUGGUUCGGAACAACACAGGGAAACUUGUGCUAAUACCGGAUAAGCCCUUACGGGGAAAGAUUUAUCGCCGAAAGAUCGGCCCGCGUCUGAUUAGCUAGUUGGUGAGGUAAUGGCUCACCAAGGCGACGAUCAGUAGCUGGUCUGAGAGGAUGAUCAGCCACAUUGGGACUGAGACACGGCCCAAACUCCUACGGGAGGCAGCAGUGGGGAAUAUUGGACAAUGGGCGCAAGCCUGAUCCAGCCAUGCCGCCGUUGAGUGAUGAAGGCCCUAGGGUUGUAAAGCUCUUUUGUGCGGGAAGAUAAUGACGGACCGCAAG